CAAUUUAUCUUGCCAUGAUGGUGUAAUUUGCGUCUGAGCCUGUGAACAGUGACAGUGGCCUGCUGUCGUUAAGCUGUCAUAAGGCAUUGACGAGUAUGAGUUUCUGAGCAAGCAAUAGCAACACCACAGUCAAAGCCAUCCAACGUUUUUGUGGAUAGCUUUUGUUGACUAUGAGCAUCUUGUCUUUUAGGUUACCACAUUGAGGAAAUCCCUGAGGUCCAACUGGUGGUUCUGAAGAGUGAGGAGAUCCAGAAAGCACUUCGUACACCUAGGAACAUCAACUGCAGAGUGCAGAAGAAGAAUCCCUAAAGAACUUCAGGCUAACGCUAAACCUUUACACCAGGAAUCUGAACAGUGAGGAGAUCCAGAAGGCACUUCCUACACAAACGUUACCACAUUGAGGAAAUCCCUGAGGUCCAACUGGUGGUUCUGAAGAGUGAGGAGAUCCAGAAAGCACUUCGUACACCUAGGAACAACGUCAACUGCAUAGUGCUGAAGAAGAGUCCUCCGAAGAGCCCUCCGAAGAGCCCUCCGAAGAGCUUCAAGAUAAUGCUCAAACUGAACAAUCGUGCCUGGCAGCUGUUUAUUUCAGCCUGCCCAUGCACACGAUCAUCAACACAAAUCUGAGAUUUGGACAAGCACUAUGUACACCUACGAACAUCAACUGCAGAGUGCUGAAGAAGAAUCCCUAAAGAACUUCAGGCUAACGCUAAACCUUUACACCAGGAAUCUGAAAAGUGAGGAGAUCCAGAAGGCACUUCCUACACAAACGAACAAUGUCAACUGCAGAGUCCUCCGAAGAACUUGAAGAUAUUGCUCAAACUGAACAAUCGUGCCAGGCAGCUGUUUAUUUCUAGCCUGCCCAUGCACAUGAUAAUAAACACAAAUCUGAGAUUUGGACAAGCACUAUGUACACCUAGGAACAUCAACUGCAGAGUGCUGAAGAAGAGUCCCUAAAGAACUUGAGGAUAACGCUAUUCCUUUACACCAGGAAUCUGAACAGUGAGGAGAUCCAGAAGGCUCUUCCUACACAAAUGAACAACUUCAACUGCAUAGUGCUGAAGAAGAGUCCUCUGAAGAACUUGAGGAUAAUGCUCAAACUGAACAAUCGUGCCUGGUAGCUGUUUAUUUCAGCCUCCCCAUGCACACGAUCAUCAACAGGGGUCUGAGAUUUGGACAGCACUAUGUACACCUACGAACAUCAACUGCAGAGUGCUGAAGAAGAAUCCUUUGAAGAACUUGAUGAUAUUGACCAAACUGAACAAUCGUGCCUGGCAGCUGUUUAUUACAGCCUGCCCAUGCACACGAUCAUCAACACACACGGGUCUGAGAUUUGGAGAAAUUCACUUCCUACACCUACGUUACCACAUUGAGGAAAUCCCUGAGGUCCAACUGGUGGUUCUGAAGAGUGAGGAGAUCCAGAAAGCACUUCGUACACCUAGGAACAUCAACUGCAGAGUGCAGAAGAAGAGUCCCUAAAGAACUUCAGGAUAACGCUAAACCUUUACACCAGGAAUCUGAACAGUGAGGAGAUCCAGAAGGCACUUCCUACACAAACAUCUAAACCAAGAUACUGAAGCCCAAGAAGAUUCCUGGAAACACAGAACUGCCAAACCAGUCAUAUAAUGAAUGAAUAAAUAUUUGAUUUCAAAUGAA